rnacentral:tRNA from 1 species
GGGGAUUUAGCUCAGUGGCACAGCGCCUGCCUGGGAAGCAUGAGGUCCUGAGUUCAAUACCUAGUACCCCCA